UACGGCGAGUAUAAAAAACUUUGGUUUUUUUGUUCUACGACCCAUAGGAGCCGAGUUAUUAAUUUUUACAAGUCGAAAAAAAAUUGCAACAUUUCAAAAUUUUUGUUUUCUGGGCCCUAUUGGCCUGACGGCGCUGAUUCAAGUAUCAAUCGACGCCCCUUGGUGAGGCGCGUCUGCCCGUGUGCAAUUUGUCAAAAUCGGAACAUUUUUCGAAUUUUAAAAAACUAAUUUCUGCCAAAUUUUUGGAAAAGUCAAAAAUUUUAAUGCAAAAUUUUGGACCAGGCCAAAAAUUUUAAACAUAAAUCCCUCAAUCGACGCGAAAUUUAGCAAGGAUAAUUUUGACACCAAAUACAAGCCGAACCGAUCAAAAUUAUGAAAAAAACUUGUUUUUUUGCAUUUUUUCCGGACGGACAACAUAGAAAAUCGAAAAUUUGCGAUUUUUUUUAUAACGGGGCAAAUUUAAAGGGUUUUAUUGACUCCAUCGAACGCGUAAAGCUACUGCUGGUCUGGAAACCGAUUUUGAGAUUUUUCGCGCCCAUAGAAAAAUUAAAAUUAAUUUUUUUCUGUUUUUUCGACUUCGCGAUGUUCUCGGUCAAAAUGGUUUUAUUUUUGUUUAAAUUCGGCCGUUCGUCCGAUCGUCGACCACGACCCCUCAUUGGACAGGUCUCAGACAGGGCUUUAACCUGCGGUACCCUGACGACCUUUUUCAGGGUACCUCGACCUGAUAUAUGCUCCUAAGCCUUUUUUUCAUGCCUUUUCACUAAUUUCAAGCACAUUUUUACCCUAACUCUUCACUGACCUUCCUCAGGUCGCGUGACCUGUUGAUUUUUUGUGAUUUUCCGGCUCGGUUGCCUAUAUUUGAGUCUUUAGGUCAAUUUCACAGUUGCCCGAAGGUCUCAAAAGACGAAAUUUUUAAUAUUUUUUUUUAUAAUUUUCAGGUUUGACCGAGACGACGGUUGGCGAGGAGAAAAAGUUCAACGCGCGGCUGACGAAGCCUCUGAAGGAGUUCGUGGACAUCAUGGACAACCUGAACCUGCCGUACCCCAAGAUGAUUGAUAAGGCCGUGCCCGCCAACCGCGUCUGCGGCCUUCAGUUCUGAUAACAACGCACGCAGAGUCUAUUUUACGCCUGUUAUCGCAUCAAAUGCGCCUCCUGUUCAAAUUAGGCCACUGAAGUGUGAUUUCUCGCACUAAACUUGUGAUAAGCAGUAUUUUACUUGGUUUUUAAAACCAGAUUAUAUUUUAAUAAAUUAUUGAGAUAUUUUUAUUAUAUUUA